GACGUAGGGCGCGAGCGUUGUCCGGAUUUAUUGGGCGUAAAGAGCUCGUAGGCGGCUCGUUGCGUCGGCUGUGAAAACCCGCAGCUCAACUGUGGGCUUGCAGCCGAUACGGGCGGGCUAGAAUUCGGUAGGGGAGACUGGAAUUCCUGGUGUAGCGGUGAAAUGCGCAGAUAUCAGGAGGAACACCAGUGGCGAAGGCGGGUCUCUGGGCCGAUAUUGACGCUGAGGAGCGAAAGCGUGGGGAGCGAACAGG
rnacentral:rRNA from 1 species